CAGAGGCUCAUAGGAAAGUACCUGCGUUCCGAAUUAACCGAACGCGAGACGGCGUACUUGCAUUUUUCGAGCGCGUGUCAUUAAUAACAGAUUGCGGCCGUCCGUGACUUCUGUCGCCGCCCUAACCACCAGGAGGAAUAGCACGGGCAACACAUUGUACGAACCUAGAAUAACGCCUAAUGAAAGAAUAAACUCAUUCUUAAUGGGCGAUUUCUGGCUGGUUAGCCAGCUUAACCGGAGAAUAAGUUUUCAAGAUGGCAGGAAAAAUGACAGAUGCAGACAGUGAUGAUGGGAUUUUGGCUGAACUAUUCAUGAGACUGGGGAGAGUGUCAGACGACCCCGAUUCCGAAUUUAUAUCCAGAGCUUGCUUAUCAAAAGAAGCCGCACUUUGUCUUUUCAAUCUUGUACAUGAAAAUCUGCUGCUUAUGACGAACAGAAAUGACUCUGUUCCUCCAAUGAACCAGCUACUGCAGACACUCAAAUAUUUUACCUCUGGUGCUUUCCUUCUGUCCACUGGAAACUUAAUUGGUACUGGCAAGGGGACAGCCAGCAAGAUUAUUAAAAGGAUGUGUAUGACAUGGACAACAUGCACAAGA